rnacentral:rRNA from 1 species
CGAAUGCUGACAUAAGUAACGAUAAAGCGGGUGAAAAGCCCGCUCGCCGGAAGACCAAGGGUUCCUGUCCAACGUUAAUCGGGGCAGGGUGAGUCGACCCCUAAGGCGAGGCCGAAAGGCGUAGUCGAUGGGAAACAGGUUAAUAUUCCUGUACUUGGUGUUACUGCGAAGGGGGGACGGAGAAGGCUAUGUUGGCCGGGCGACGGUUGUCCCGGUUUAAGCGUGUAGGCUGGUUUUCCAGGCAAAUCCGGAAAAUCAAGGCUGAGGCGUGAUGACGAGGCACUACGGUGCUGAAGCAACAAAUGCCCUGCUUCCAGGAAAAGCCUCUAAGCAUCAGGUAACAUUAAAUCGUACCCCAAACCGACACAGGUGGUCAGGUAGAGAAUACCAAGGCGCUUGAGAGAACUCGGGUGAAGGAACUAGGCAAAAUGGUGCCGUAACUUCGGGAGAAGGCACGCUGAUAUGUAGGUGAAGUCCCUCGCGGAUGGAGCUGAAAUCAGUCGAAGAUACCAGCUGGCUGCAACUGUUUAUUAAAAACACAGCACUGUGCAAACACGAAAGUGGACGUAUACGGUGUGACGCCUGCCCGGUGCCGGAAGGUUAAUUGAUGGGGUUAGCGGUAACGCGAAGCUCUUGAUCGAAGCCCCGGUAAACGGCGGCCGUAACUAUAACGGUCCUAAGGUAGCGAAAUUCCUUGUCGGGUAAGUUCCGACCUGCACGAAUGGCGUAAUGAUGGCCAGGCUGUCUCCACCCGAGACUCAGUGAAAUUGAACUCGCUGUGAAGAUGCAGUGUACCCGCGGCAAGACGGAAAGACCCCGUGAACCUUUACUAUAGCUUGACACUGAACAUUGAGCCUUGAUGUGUAGGAUAGGUGGGAGGCUUUGAAGUGUGGACGCCAGUCUGCAUGGAGCCGACCUUGAAAUACCACCCUUUAAUGUUUGAUGUUCUAACGUUGACCCGUGAUCCGGGUUGCGGACAGUGUCUGGUGGGUAGUUUGACUGGGGCGGUCUCCUCCUAAAGAGUAACGGAGGAGCACGAAGGUUGGCUAAUCCUGGUCGGACAUCAGGAGGUUAGUGCAAUGGCAUAAGCCAGCUUGACUGCGAGCGUGACGGCGCGAGCAGGUGCGAAAGCAGGUCAUAGUGAUCCGGUGGUUCUGAAUGGAAGGGCCAUCGCUCAACGGAUAAAAGGUACUCCGGGGAUAACAGGCUGAUACCGCCCAAGAGUUCAUAUCGACGGCGGUGUUUGGCACCUCGAUGUCGGCUCAUCACAUCCUGGGGCUGAAGUAGGUCCCAAGGGUAUGGCUGUUCGCCAUUUAAAGUGGUACGCGAGCUGGGUUUAGAACGUCGUGAGACAGUUCGGUCCCUAUCUGCCGUGGGCGCUGGAGAACUGAGGGGGGCUGCUCCUAGUACGAGAGGACCGGAGUGGACGCAUCACUGGUGUUCGGGUUGUCAUGCCAAUGGCACUGCCCGGUAGCUAAAUGCGGAAGAGAUAAGUGCUGAAAGCAUCUAAGCACGAAACUUGCCCCGAGAUGAGUUCUCCCUGACUCCUUGAGAGUCCUGAAGGAACGUUGAAGACGACGACGUUGAUAGGCCGGGUGUGUAAGCGC